rnacentral:rRNA from 1 species
CCUACGGGAGGCUGCAGUGAGGAAUAUUGGUCAAUGGACGAGAGUCUGAACCAGCCAAGUAGCGUGAAGGAUGACUGCCCUAUGGGUUGUAAACUUCUUUUAUAUGGGAAUAAAACAGGGUAUGCAUACCCUCUUGUAUGUACCAUAUGAAUAAGGAUCGGCUAACUCCGUGCCAGCAGCCGCGGUAAUACGGAGGAUCCGACCGUUAUCCGGAUUUAUUGGGUUUAAAGGGAGCGUAGGUGGGUUGUUAAGUCAGUUGUGAAAGUUUGUGGGUCAACCGGAAAAUGGCAGUUGAAACUGGCAGUCUUGAGUACAGUAGAGGGGGGCGGAAUUCGGGGUGGAGCGGUGAAAUGCUUAGAUAUCGCGAAGAACACCGAUUGCGAAGGCAGCUCACUGGACUGCAACUGACACUGAGGCUCGAAAGUGUGGGUAGCGAACAGGAUUAGAUACCCUAGUAGUC